ensembl:snRNA U2 U2 spliceosomal RNA
ACCGCUUCUCGGCCUUUUGGCUAAGAUCAAGUGUAGUAUCUGUUCUUAUCAGUAAUAUAGUUAGUUAAUUUAUGCCAGUUUUUUUUUUCCAAAAUGAUUUUACAAGCUUACAAAUCAAUAUACAAAACAAAAUUGAACCACAUGUGUAAAUGAAGGAAGUAAC